UCCGGUUGAUCCUGCCGGAGGCCACUGCUAUGGGGGUCCGACUAAGCCAUGCGAGUCAUGGGGCGCCUUGCGCGCACCGGCGGACGGCUCAGUAACACGUCGGUAACCUACCCUCGGGAGGGGGAUAACCCCGGGAAACUGGGGCUAAUCCCCCGUAGGCCUGAGGUACUGGAAGGUCCUCAGGCCGAAAGGGUCUUUGACCGCCCGAGGAUGGGCCGGCGGCCGAUUAGGUAGUUGGUGGGGUAACGGCCCACCAAGCCGAAGAUCGGUACGGGCCAUGAGAGUGGGAGCCCGGAGAUGGACACUGAGACACGGGUCCAGGCCCUACGGGGCGCAGCAGGCGCGAAACCUCCGCAAUGCUCGAAAGAGCGACGGGGGGACCCCCAGUGCCGUGGCAUCGCCACGGCUUUUCCGGAGUGUAAAGAGCUCCGGGAAUAAGGGCUGGGCAAGGCCGGUGGCAGCCGCCGCGGUAAUACCGGCGGCCCGAGUGGUGGCUGCUAUUAUUGGGCCUAAAGCGUCCGUAGCCGGGCCAGUAAGUCCCUGGCGAAAUUCCACGGCUCAACCGUGGGGCUUGCUGGGG
rnacentral:rRNA from 1 species